ACGCUGGCGGCAGGCUUAACACAUGCAAGUCGAGCGGGGGAAGGUAGCUUGCUACCGGACCUAGCGGCGGACGGGUGAGUAAUGCUUAGGAAUCUGCCUAUUAGUGGGGGACAACAUCUCGAAAGGGAUGCUAAUACCGCAUACGUCCUACGGGAGAAAGCAGGGGAUCUUCGGACCUUGCGCUAAUAGAUGAGCCUAAGUCGGAUUAGCUAGUUGGUGGGGUAAAGGCCUACCAAGGCGACGAUCUGUAGCGGGUCUGAGAGGAUGAUCCGCCACACUGGGACUGAGACACGGCCCAGACUCCUACGGGAGGCAGCAGUGGGGAAUAUUGGACAAUGGGGGGAACCCUGAUCCAGCCAUGCCGCGUGUGUGAAGAAGGCUUAUGGUUGUAAAGCACUUUAAGCGAGGAGGAGGCUACUUUAGUUAUACCUAGAGAUAGUGGACGUUACCCGCAGAUAAACCGGUACCUUGCAACGGGGG
rnacentral:rRNA from 1 species